AGGAACAUAGGUCGUGUAUCCCUCCGCCACUGAUAUUUCUGCGAUUUCUGCUACUUCCGCGAUUUCUGCUACUUCUGCGAUUUCUGUGACUUCUGCUACUUCUGUGAUUUCUGUGAUUCCUGCGAUUUCUGCGACUUACCACCGUAUGAAAAAGUUACAUCUGUCAACACAGAAAAUUGCAUCUCAACAAAACUGUCAUUGGCAAGUACCUGAACUACAUUUCAGUCACUCAGUAAAGUGAUAACUCAAAAUAUCAUUGUCAACAGAUCUGAAGAAAUUGCCACUGCGUCUUUAGACCGUUUUCGUCAGACGAGAGACACAGUUCUGACUCUGAUUACUGGUUGCUGUACGUAUCUAACCACAUCAAGGCUGUUGAGAGAGACUCGUGAAGAUUCAAGACAGCUCUUAGAGGAUUUGCAGUUUAAAAGUGAAAUAAUUGUGAAAUAAGUGUG